UACGGAGGGUGCGAGCGUUACCCGGAUUUACUGGGUGUAAAGGGCGUGUAGGCGGUCUCUCAAGUCCGAUGCUAAAGACCGAAGCUCAACUUCGGGGGUGCGUUGGAUACUGUGAGGCUAGACGGUCGGAGAGGGUAGCGGAAUUUCCGGAGUAGCGGUGAAAUGCGCAGAUACCGGAAGGAACGCCAAUAGCGAAAGCAGCUACCUGGACGAUUGGUGACGCUGAGGCGCGAAAGCGUGGGGAGCAAACGGG
rnacentral:rRNA from 1 species